rnacentral:rRNA from 1 species
GAUGAACGCUGGCGGCGUGCCUAAUACAUGCCAGUCGAACGCUGAAGGAGGAGCUUGCUCUUCUGGAUGAGUUGCGAACGGGUGAGUAACGCGUAGGUAACCUGCCUGGUAGCGGGGGAUAACUAUUGGAAACGAUAGCUAAUACCGCAUGACAACAGUUAUUGCAUGAUAACUGUUUAAAAGGGGCAACUGCUCCACUACCAGAUGGACCUGCGUUGUAUUAGCUAGUUGGUGAGGUAACGGCUCACCAAGGCGACGAUACAUAGCCGACCUGAGAGGGUGAUCGGCCACACUGGGACUGGGACACGGCCCAGACUCCUACGGGAGGCAGCAGUAGGGAAUCUUCGGCAAUGGACGGAAGUCUGACCGAGCAACGCCGCGUGAGUGAAGAAGGUUUUCGGAUCGUAAAGCUCUGUUGUAAGAGAAGAACGAGUGUGAGAGUGGAAAGUUCACACUGUGACGGUAUCUUACCAGAAAGGGACGGCUAACUACGUG